UUACUUUCCUUUUUCUGAUGA
rnacentral:piRNA from 1 species